GAUGAACGCUGGCGGUGUGCCUAAUACAUGCAAGUCGAGCGAACAGACGAGGAGCUUACUCCUCUGACGUUAGCGGCGGACGGGUGAGUAACACGUGGAUAACCUACCUAUAAGACUGGGAUAACUUCGGGAAACCGGAGCUAAUACCGGAUAACAUGUUGAACCGCAUGGUUCAACAGUGAAAGACGGUCUUGCUGUCACUUAUAGAUGGAUCCGCGUCGCAUUAGCUAGUUGGUAAGGUAACGGCUUACCAAGGCAACGAUGCGUAGCCGACCUGAGAGGGUGAUCGGCCACACUGGAACUGAGACACGGUCCAGACUCCUACGGGAGGCAGAAGUAGGGAAUCUUCCGCAAUGGGCGAAAGCCUGACGGAGCAACGCCGCGUGAGUGAAGAAGGUCUUCGGAUCGUAAAACUCUGUUAUUAGGGAAGAACAAAUGUGUAAGUAACUAUGCACGUCUUGACGGUACCUAAUCAGAAAGCCACGGCUAACUACGUG
rnacentral:rRNA from 1 species